rnacentral:tRNA from 1 species
AAGGGAGACCUAAUUCAGGUAGGAGACGAAAAAAAGUAGUCCCUACCAGGAAUCAAUCCCAAAAGGUCGGAGCGAGGCGAAAUUGGCUUUCAAACUAGGUUCUGGGUUCAAACAAGACCUGAAUCAGGAACAAGGGCUAUUAGCUCAGGUGGUUAGAGCGCACCCCUGAUAAGGGUGAGGUCCCUGGUUCGAGUCCAGGAUGGCCCACCUGCACAGGUGGCAAAAACAAGAGAAGCGAGGAAUCAGCACCUUAUCUUACUGACAUAGUAAGAGAGAAUGCUGGCUCUGAGUAAAGAGUCCAGAGGAACCUUGAAAACUGCAUAGAGCUAGGUGAAAAAGCCAAAAAAGAAGACCGCAA